AGAGAGUAAUUGGGAUGCAUGGUAUAGUAAUGGUCAAACCGCAGGAUACAAAACCACAUACGCUCGUGAUAAUUAUUCUUUAGUAUUUGCUACUGUAAAGGGAGCGGGUCAUACAGCUCCAGAGUUCAAACCAGAAGAAUGUUUUCAGAUGGUUAAGAGGUGGUUUGCUAAUAAACCUAUCUAAACCAACAAUUUAGUGUUCUCUAAAUGAGAUAUUCAAGAUUCAUUCUAGGGUUUGUUUGGGCUUUAGAUUAGCUUAUUUUAUUGCACGAUUCGUUGGUCAUYCAAUAGUGAAGGUGAUCUUGUAGUAUUUAUUUUGUUUCGGUGUUAUAAUUUGUUACAGAUGCAUUAAUAAUAUUUGAUUGAUUUCAAUAAAUUGAGAAAU